rnacentral:rRNA from 1 species
AUGUCGGCCGCGGGGGAGGACAUAGUGCAGCACCUCUCGUCGAAUUCCAACCCGUCCUCGUCCAAGCUCGCCAAGCUCGAGGCGCGCAUGGCCGGCAAGGCCGUCUCGGUGCCGCCCCCGUCGCCGCCGCACCACCCGGUGGUCUCCGCCGCCUCGGCCCCCACCUUCAUGGACCAGGAGGAGCUACUAAUGUUUGCUGUAUUUGCUGACCAGAAUGGCGAGGAGUUCUUGAUACAGAAGAACACACUGAAGCGUCCGAGAUCCCCGGAUGAUGACCACGGCCUAGCUCUUGGAAAUUUUGAGGGAUCAGCUAAUGCGGCAGCAAAAGUAUUAGAUGUCACGGACACACGACUCCCUUCGGAAAACCCAAGCAGAAAAAGGCAGGGCCGUGGAAGGGGACGUGGUGGAACAGGACGAGGGCGUGGCUCAAAGACGGUUGAUCAAACACGCCAUACUUCGGCUUCUUCAGUAACUGUCUCAAAUGGUCAACAUGACAAAUUAACCAACAUGGAUUCCCGAACAAGUGUUCUACCUGGGAAUGAUGACAGGACUGCUUUACACGAAGAAUUAUCACUGUUACGUGGUAAAGUUGCAUUUUUGGAGGAGGAGCUUAAUAAAUCGCGUCAAGAAGCAACGGAGCAUCACCAACUUAGUGAUAGGUUAGCUAAGGAAUUGAAGGAUUUCAAGGAUCAAGAUCAACAAAAGAAACCAAAGCAAAUGAAGGUCCUGUCUGAUCUGCUCAUAGCAGUAUCAAAAGCAGAAAGGCAAGAAGCACGGAUGAAGUUAAAGCAGGAAUCUUUCAGACUCGGGAACAUUGGUGUUAUGAGAGCUGGGACUGUCAUAUCUGAAACAUGGGAGGAUGGUCAGGCAAUAAAGGACCUUAAUGCGCAUCUUAAAUCAUUGCUGGAAACUAAAGAGGCUGUUGAAAGACAUCGUAAAUCUCUAAAGAAAAGACAAUCAUCUGAUAAGGGUGACGGAAGUGAUGCUGAAACUAGCAUGUCCGAGGAAGAUUUCCUCUUACAGGACGAGAUAUGUAAAUCUCGGUUAACAAGUAUCAAGCGGGAGGAAGAACAGUAUCUGCGAGAAAGAGAUCGAUAUGAAUUAGAAAAGGGUAGGCUUAUACGUGAAAUGAAGCGUCUCAGAGAUGAGGAUGGAUCCCGUUUUAAUAACUUUCAAAUUCUUCACCAUCGAUAUGCUCUGUUAAAUCUUCUUGGAAAGGGAGGGUUUAGUGAGGUGUACAAGGCUUUUGACUUGGUGGAAUACAAGUACGUGGCCUGUAAGCUUCAUGGUUUGAAUGCUCAGUGGAGUGAGGAGAAAAAGCAAAGCUACAUACGGCAUGCGAUUCGUGAAUAUAAUAUCCAUAAGACUCUGGUGCAUACAAACAUUGUCAGGCUAUGGGACAUAUUCGAGAUUGAUCACAACACAUUCUGCACUGUCCUAGAAUAUUGCAGCGGCAAGGAUCUCGAUGCAGUCCUUAAAGCAACACCAAUUCUUCCAGAAAAGGAAGCAAGGAUCAUAAUUGUUCAAGUGUUUCAGGGCCUUGUUUAUCUUAACAAAAAGGCUCAAAAGAUCAUCCACUAUGACCUCAAACCAGGCAACGUUCUCUUCGACGAAGUUGGUGUUACAAAAGUCACAGACUUUGGCCUCAGCAAGAUAGUGGAGGAUGACGUUGGGUCUCAGGGAAUGGAACUCACUUCUCAGGGAGCUGGAACCUAUUGGUAUCUGCCACCAGAAUGCUUUGAUCUCAGCAGAACACCAUUUAUUUCAUCUAAGGUGGAUGUUUGGUCAGCCGGUGUGAUGUUUUAUCAGAUGCUAUAUGGGAGGCGUCCUUUUGGCCAUGACCAGACCCAAGAGAGAAUACUUCGAGAAGAUACAAUUAUCAAUGCACGCAAGGUGGAAUUCCCUCCGAAGCCAACUGUAUCAAACGAGGCAAAGGAACUGAUACGCCGUUGCUUGACAUACAAUCAAUCGGAGAGGCCAGACGUUCUAUCAAUAGCUCAAGAUCCUUAUCUCUCUUAUGCAAAGAGGUAG